rnacentral:rRNA from 1 species
CGCGAAUGGCUCAUUAUAACAGCUAUAAUUUACUUGAUCUUGACACAAUCCUACUUGGAUAACUGUGGUAAUUCUAGAGCUAAUACAUGCAUUAAAGCUCUGACCUCACGGGAAGAGUGCAUUUAUUAGAACAAAACCAAGCGGCUUCGGCUGUUUCUGGUUGACUCAUAGUAACUGAGCUGAUCGCACGGUCUUGCACCGGCGACGUGUCUUUCAAGUAUCUGCCGUAUCAACUUUCGAUGGUAGUGUAUCUGACUACCAUGGUGAUCACGCGUAACGGAGAAUAAGGGUUCGGCUCCGGAGAGUUCGCCUGAGAAAUCGCGAACACAUCUAAGGAAGGCAGCAGGCGCGAAAAUUACCCACUCUCAGCACGAGGAGGUAGUGACGAAAAAUAACGAGACCGUUCUCUUAUGAGGCCGGUCAUCGGAAUGGGUACAAUUUAAACCCUUUAACGAGUAUCUAUGAGAGGGCAAGUCUGGUGCCAGCAGCCGCGGUAAUUCCAGCU